UAGCUCAGUGGUAGAGUGCAUGCCUAGCAUGCAUGAGGUCCUGGGUUCAAUUCCCAU
rnacentral:tRNA from 1 species